UGGGAAAAGAGACAAAAGAACCAUGCUGUUGAAGCUGUGAAGAAGAGACUGCUGUUGCUUGAGUUGAUUAUAGCUGGACUCAGACAGCACAUUUACUCCUCUGAAUAGUGGCUAUUGACCUCAUACCAACACUACAGUGGAACCGCAGGACAUCCUCUUUUGACACCUAAUACUGACUCCAAAUGAAGGUGAACUAGAAGUCUGGAUGGGAGAAUCUGGAAGAGAUAAAUUUCCUCCUUUUCAAUGACGAUGUAGUAAAAUUAAGCUUUUUGAAAAUAAGUUAACUCUUUGUGACAAUGUCUGAAUCCAUACUUGCUCUGUCUUUUACACCAGAAAAGGAUUACUAAACUACACUUGUCAAUAUGUGCAAGAAUCAGGGAAACAUUAUAUUCAUUAAUGUUUUCAUAGUCUCUGUAUAAGACACAUCACCACAGAUUUGAGUCCUUUCGGAAACUGUUCAAGUAUCCACAGUAAAAUAUUCUUAACAUAAGUAUUAUUGGGAUGAAAAGUGCUACCUGAAUUGAAGGAGCACAUCUUCAGAAUGCAAAGGUAGAUAUAAAUAAGACAAUAUGAAGAUAUUUAAAUACUGGCAAAUUGUGUCGUAGUUCUUAUUUUUCAUGUUCUCAUUUUUAGAUUCUCACUUAAAUUGUCUUUCAAUUAUUGUUAUUCCUCAUCUCAGUGGAGAGAAUCCUAUUCACAAAUACAACUUAAAUUAUUAUUGCUUACCAGAUUUUUAGACAGGUAUUUAUGCAUGUAUAAACAUAUAUGUGAGUCAAUUUCCCCACAGAGUUAAGACGUCCUCCAUACACAUGUUCAGAUCUUCACUACAGUUCGUCAGAACUCCAAUUAAAAUUCUGUUUAUUUAUUUAUAUUUCAUUUUUAUUUUUAUUUUAUGUUAUCUUCAAAGCAUCUGACAAUGACUGAACUCAUAAAGUUUUAAAACCACUACUUAAUAUCAUUUCUGGACUUUAUUUUACCACCCUCAGCCUCCAACCAUCUGUCUCAUUCCAUCUGUUGUCUUCUACUUAGUUUGAAAAUUCUUUGGACGAGGAGUGUCUUCUUGGCUUGCAUUUGUGCACAGGGAUCCUGGCUUCUAAUAGAGCUUCUAAAUAUUAUGGUAAUAUACAUAAUAGUAAGCAAUAACAUCAGUUGCCAGUCAAGAAUUACAUAUGGUCAAACACAGAACAAUCAAAGAAUCAUAAUGACUAUGUUAUAGAAUCAUAGAAUCCUUAGAGUUGGAAGGGACUCUUACAGGCCAUCUAGUCCAACUCCUCAGCAAUUGUCAACGGUUUACGGGCA